rnacentral:rRNA from 1 species
UCGGGAAUUUUGGGCAAUGGGCGAAAGCCUGACCCAGCAACGCCGCGUGAAGGAUGAAGUAUUUCGGUAUGUAAACUUCGUAAGAAUAGGAAGAAUAAAUGACGGUACUAUUUGUAAGGUCCGGCUAACUACGUGCCAGCAGCCGCGGUAAUACGUAGGGACCAAGCGUUGUUCGGAUUUACUGGGCGUAAAGGGCGCGUAGGCGGUGUGUCAAGUCAGUUGUGAAAUCUCCGAGCUUAACUCGGAACGG